GACGAACGCUGGCGGCGUGCCUAAUACAUGCAAGUCGAACGCAGUGGGGAUGGGUGAGUAACACGUGGGUAACCUCCCAUCAGAGGGGAUAACACUUGGAAACUGGUGCUAAACCGCUACUGAUGGAUGAACCCGAGGUGCAUUAGCGAGUUGGUGAGGUAACGGCUCACCAAGGCCACGAUGCAUAGCCGACCUGAGAGGUUGAUCGGCCACACUGGAACUGAGACACGGCCCAGACUCCUACGGGAGGCAGCAGUGGGGAAUCUUCGGCAAUGGACGAAAGUCUGACCGAGCAACGCCGCGUGUGUGAAGAAGGUUUUCGGAUCGUAAAACUCUGUUGUUGGGGAAGCGUUAUCUAACGAGAAAGCCACGGCUAACUACGUGCCAGCAGCCGCGGUAAUAG
rnacentral:rRNA from 1 species